CACUGUGGAGCCAGACUGCCUUUCUGGAAUGGCAGUGUCAGUCAAUUAGCUCCUUUGAUUUUCAACGCAAUGUGCCAUUCCAUAAUGGCUGCUGUUACUACUGCUAGCUAGCAUGAGGACGAAAAGGUACGUUUUCUGGGAAUAACGGUAACAUUUGGAGUACAGUGGCAUAUCCCAUCCCUGCACUGAGGUACGUUUUCCGACCCAUAUCUCGCGCCGGCUCCACGGUGUCUAAUUAACGCAACCAGGAUUGCAUUCGGACACAGUGCAGAUCAAUGCAGAAAGUUGUCAAAAGUAAGAGAGAAUAUCUUUAAACAAUACACAUUUAUUUAUAAAGCAGCUGUCACAAAAUGCUUAUACAGAAACUGAGUCUAAAACACCAAACAGCAAGAAAUGCAGAUGUCGAAGCACGGUGGUUAGGAAAAACUCCCUAGAAAGGCAGGAACCUUGGAAGAAACCUAGAGACGAUCCAGGCUCUGAGGGGUGGCCAGUCCUCUUCUGGCUGUGCUGGGUAGAGACUAGAGUACAUGGCCAUUAAGGCCAGAUUGUACAGUUACAUUCUAGAUGAUUCUGUGCUUCCAAAUUUGUGGCAACAGUUUUCCUGUUUCAGCAUGACAAUGCCCCCUUGCACAAAGUGAGGUCCUUAAAGAACUGGCCUACAGAGCCCUGACCUCAACCUCAUCCAACACCUUUGGGAUGAAUUGGAAGGCUGACUGCGAGCCAGGCCUAAUCGCCCAACAUCAGUGCCGACCUCACUAAUGCUCUUGUGGCUGAAUGGAAGCAAGUACCUGCAGCAAUGUUCCAACAUCUAGUGGAAAGCCUUCCCAGAAGAGUGGAGGCUGUUAUAGCAGCAAAGGGGGGACCAACUCCAUAUUAAUGCCCAUGAUUUUGGAAUGAGAUGUUUGACGAGCAGGUGUCAACAUACUUUUGGUCAUGUAGUGUAGAUUAUUGCAGCAUAGAUCUUUGAAAGGCCCCAUUGUGCCAUACCAAUCAAUCAAUCAAUCAAUCAAAUGUAUUGAUAAAGACCUUUUUACAUCAGCAGAUGUCACAAUAUGCUAUACAGAAACCCAGCCUAAAACCCCAAACAGCAAGCAAUGCAGAUGUAGAAGCAUGCAGUUACUGUAAGUGAGCAUCUCAGUUGUGCUGUAUGAUCCUGAGAAUAGUUUGUUUUCAACAUUCCUAACAACCAUUCUGAUGAAUCAUGUCCACAAAAGGGGAAAACUAAGUUAGAAUAUGAAAUGUUUUAAGAACACUGUUACAUUAUAAUACCGCUAUGCUGAGAGAAAAAGGAGAACCAGGUAUCUAGCAAUAUAUUACAAUAUUUCUUGGUGAGGCAAAGAUGGCGAUAGUGAGCCACCUGAGACAAGCCUUGAUGAAGACAAUGUGAGCAAAACACUUGUAAGACUACAGGAAAUAUGGGUUAGACUGAUCUGUCAGAAUACAUGUAUGUAUCAUUCACCUCUAAAAUAAACCCUUUACUGGAGUCAGUUUGUUCCCAAGGACACUACCAAACAUCUAUGAAACUUACCAUACUUUAUGUGAUCCAAGACCUGUAUGGUGGGGAAAACUAUGAAGGGGAAAAGAGAUCACUGUUACAGCGUAAUAAACACACAAAUCACAUUAUAUAAACACUGGACAUAAAGGUGACAUAUGUCAACAGUCAAGUUUUGUUGAAAAAAUAUAUAUAUUUUGCGAUUUUUAUCCACAGAUAGGAUAGUAUUUGAGUUGGAUUAGAUAGAAGAGGGAUAUACUGUAGCAUGGACUGUAAAGUUGCAUAGGCGAGGAUUGAACCUCUGCCUUCAGGGCUAAGUGUAGACCAGGGGUGGCAUGAUCUUAAUCAGUUUCUAAAACAGACCCCUUGACUUUUUCCACAUUUUGUUACAUCAAAUCAAAUCAAAUGUAUUUAUAUAGCCCUUCGUACAUCAGCUGAUAUCUCAAAGUGCUGUACAGAAACCCAGCCUAAAACCCCAAACAGCAAGCAAUGCAUGUGAAAGAAGCACGGUGGCUAGGAAAAACUCCCUAGGAAAAACUCCCUAGAAAGGCCAAAAACCUAGGAAGAAACCUAGAGAGGAACCAGGCUAUGAGUGGUGGCCAGUCCUCUUCUGGCUGUGCCGGGUGGAUAUUAUAACAGAACAUGGUCAAGAUGUUAAAAUGUUCAUAAAUGACCAGCAUGGUCAAAUAAUAAUAAUCAUAGUAGUUGUCGAGGGUGCAACAAGCACGUCCGGUGAACAGGUCAGGGUUCCAUAGCCGCAGGCAGAACAGUUGAAACUGGAGCAGCAGCACGGCCAGGUGGACUGGGGACAGCAAGGAGUCAUCAUGCCAGGUAGUCCUGAGGCAUGGUCCUAGGGCUCAGGUCCUCCGAGAGAAAGAAAGAAAGAGAGAAAGAGAGAAUUAGAGAGAGCAUAUUUAAAUUCACACAGGACACCGUAUAAGACAAGACAACAGCCUUAUUCUAAAAUUGAUUAAAUAAAAAAUUGUCCUCACCAAUCUACACACAAUAUCCUAUAAUGACAAAGCGAAAAGAUUUGUAGAAAUGUUUGUGAAUGUAUAAAAAAUUAAAAACAGAAAUACUUUAUUUACAUAAGUAUUCAGAUUCUUUGCUAUGAGACUCACAAUUCAGCUCAGGUGCAUCCUGUUUCCAUUGAUCAUCCUUGAGAUGUUUCUACAACUUGAUUGUGUCAUGGUUGUUGUAAGGAGAAGCGGACCAAAGUGCAGCGUGUGUGUUGUUCCACAUUUUAUUUGCACUGUGAAACUAUGCAAUACAUAAACAUAAACUAAAGAACAAAACAAUAAACCGUGACGCAGAGGUGAAACAUACACUACUCAAAAACAAACGCAGGUGGAAAAAAACCAUACUUAAGUAUGAUCUCCAAUUAGAGACAACGAGAACCAGCUGUCUCUAAUUGGAGAUCAUCCCAAACAAAACCCCAACAUAGAAAUACAAAACUAGAACCUGACAACAUAGAAAUAGAAAACAUAGGAAAAAAACCCUGUCACGCCAUGACCUACUCUACCAUAGAAAAUAACAUCUUUCUAUGGUCAGGACGUGACAGUACCCCCACCCCCAAAGGUGCGGACUCCGACCGCACUUAAACAAAACAAUAACAACAACCCCCCCCCCCCCAAAAAAGGGAGGGUAGGGUGAGGAACUACUGUCUAUGGCGGCUCUGGUGCAGUACACAUAACCUUCUCAUCCCGCGGAUCCUCCAACAGAGGAGGCAGCUCCGGUUCGGGGCGUAACCCCUGCUCCACCCGCUGAUCCCUCUGCUUCUGUGCCACCGGACUCUAGACCAUCGCCGGAGGCUCUGUACUGCAGACCGCCGCCGGAGGUUCCGGGCUGCGGCCCGUCUCAGGAGGUUCCGGACUUCGGCCCGUCUCAGGAGGUUCCGGACUUCGGCCCGUCUCAGGAGGUUCCGGACUGCAGGCCGUCUCAGGAGGUUCCGGACUGUAGGCCCGUGUCAUGACGUUGCCCUCUGGGUUUUCUAUGCACCAUCCCCCGACCUCUAUACUUCUGACACAAGGCUGUGUGAAGGCGGUCGUAAAUUCCAAAGGGAAUGUCCUGCCUAACAGGCCACAGUAAAGAGACAGGGUGUUUUCAUGGAGAGAACAAAGGAUUCUUCCACCUCACAGAAUUGGAGAACUGAACGACAUUUAUGUUCUGGAGAAGGUAUAAAAGAUCGGUGAAGAAUCCAGCUACGAACUGAUCCGCUUGGUACAAUUUUAUGAAACCCAUGAGAGACAAUAUUGCCAUAUUACCAUAAUAAUGUUUAUAUAAUAGCCUCAGCUAUGGGACUUACAUCUAAAUGGUUAUAUCAAAUGUAUUAAUAAGGAUAAAGCUAUUUGGAAUAUGUUGAGAUGCUAUGUACUGAUGUUAAUGUGAGAGAAUUGUAUUUCUGUUCAAAAGCUUAACUAAGUCAUCGGCACGCCCCCAGGGACACAGACAGGACAAGGCGUCAUGUGACAAGCUUUUCUAUGUUCAGUAUAAACCCCCACCCAGAAUUUCUUUCACCAGACAAGCUUACCUCAGAAGAGAGAGCCAAGGUUUGACCAUGCAUUCCUCGACUGAAGUUUAACCAUACCACGUGGUUAAACUUUUAGACUAUCGAUACCGGCAGAAUAAUAACAAGUCUUUGAUAUUAAUUAAUAGUCUGCAGCUAGAAAUUCGGUAUCAUUGAACGCGAAGACCGACAAAACAUCCAUUCUAUUACAACAUGAACGAAUGUCGCUUUGAAAGAUCCAUUCUAACCGAGAGAGAGAGAGAGAGAGAGAACGCGGACAAAAACUCUCCAACAGGACAAAAACUUUCCAACAAGGAUCCCAAUGACACACUGAGCGUAAAUAUAUAUUGAUUGCAAUUGUCCCCGAAUGAGUGAGCGUUCAUGUGCAAAGGAUUAGCAUAUCAAUUGUUAAUAUUAAUGAACUCUGUUGUGCCUCCUCAGCUGCCCUUUAUGACCCUUUGUUUAACAAGCCGCCAUGCCGGUUUAGCCCACUAGGGCACAUUACUCUACCAUUUCUUUGUGACGAUAAUUACUGUUUGUAUGCUUUCUGUGAAUUACUUAGUUUAGUAAAUAAAUUAUUUUAAGCCAAUUGAUGUAUGGAUGACUUAGUGAAGACUGGGUUCAUGCAGAUAACAACAAUUUAUGACGUUUGGAAUGAGACUGGACGAGGUAAAGAAUACACUAUUUAAACCAGAAGAUAAUCGGUCAGAUACUAUAAUAUAAUAUAAUGUUAUAAUAUAGGAAAGUUAUAUUAGGAAAAUUACAACUUUGUAAUCUGAAUAUUUUCCUUGGUGCCCUGAUCGCCUAGUUAAUUACAGUUAAACGAUUAAUCAGUUUAAUCGCGUAAUAAUAAUUACAGGGAGUUAUUUGAUAAACAUGUCUUCAGUUUAAUGGUGCCCCAAAGACACGACACCCGUCUCAGGAGGUUCCGGACUGUAGGCCGUCUCAGGAGGUUCCGGACUGUAGGCCGUCUCAGGAGGUUCCGGACUGUAGGCCGUCUCAGGAGGUUCCGGACUGUAGGCCGUCUCAGGAGGUUCCGGACUGUAGGCCGUCUCAGGAGGUUCCGGACUGUAGGCCGUCUCAGGAGGUUCCGGACUGUAGGCCGUCUCAGGAGGUUCCGGACUGUAGGCCAUCCCAGGAGGUUCCGGACUGUAGGCCAUCCCAGGAGGUUCCGGACUGUAGGCCGUCGCUGGAAGCUCUGGACAGGGAACUGUCGCCGGAAGCUCUGGAUUGGGAACUGUCGCCAGAAGCUCUGGACUGGGAACUGUCACCGGAAGCUCUGGACUGGGAACUGUCGCUGGACGCUCUGGACUGGGAAUGCGCACUGGAGGCCUGAUGCGUGGGGCUGGCACAGGUGGCUCCAGACUAGUAACAUGCACCUCAGGGCGAGUGCGGGGAGCAGGAACAGGACACCCCGGACUGGGCAGGCGCACUGGAGGCCUGAUGCGUGGGGCUGGCACAGGAUAUACUGGGCCGUGGAGGCGCACUGGAGAUCUCAAGCGUAGAGCUGGCACAACCCGUCCUGGCUGGAUGCUCAACCUAGCUCGACAAAUGCGGGGCGCGGGCACAGAUCGCACCGGCCUGUGAAUGCGCACUGGCGACACAGUGCGCAUCACUGCAUAACACGGUGCUUGCGUCGUCACUCGCUCCCCACGGUAAGCACAGGGAGUUGGCUCAGGUCUCCAACCUGACUCUGCCAAUCUCCCCGUGUGCCCCCCCAUUUUUUGGGGGGCUGCCUCUCGCACUUGCCUCAUGGUUGGUAUAGUGCCUCGUAAUAUCGCCGCUCCGCUUUAUCUGCCUCACUCUCCUCUUUCGGACGGCGAUACUCCCCAGCCUGACUCGAGGGUCCUUUCCCAUCCAGAAUUUACUCCCAAGUCCAUUCCUGUUUCUCCUGGGCACGCUGCUUGGUCCUUUGGUGGUGGGAGAUUCUGUCACGGUUGUCGUAAGGAGAAGCAGACCAAAGUGCAGCGUGUGUGUCAUUCCACCUUUUAUUUACACUAUGAAACUAUGCAAUACAUAAACACAAACUAAAGAACAAAACAACAAACCGUGACGCAGAGGUGAAACAUACACUACUCAAAAACAAUCUCCCACAAACGCAGGUGGAAAAAAACCCUACUUAAGUAUGAUCUCCAAUUAGAGACAACGAGAACCAGCUGCCUCUAAUUGGAGAUCAUCCCAAACAAAACCCCAACAUAGAAAUACAAAACUAGAACCUGACAACAUAGAAAUAGAAAACAUAGAGAGAAAAAAACUGUCACGCCCUGACCUACUCUACCAUAGAAAAUAACAGCUUUCUAUGGUCAGGACGUGACAGAUUGGAGUCCAACUGUGGUAAUUUCAAUUGAUUGGACAUGAUUUGGAAAGGUCCAACAGUUGACAGUGCAUGUCAGAGCAAAAACCAAGCCAUGAGCUCGAAGGAAUUGUCCGUAGGCAGGAUUGUGUAGAGGAACAGAUCUGGGGAAGGGUGAAAAAAAUGUCUGCAGCAUUGAAGGUUCCCAAGAACACAGUGGCCUCAUUCUUAAAUGGAAGAAGUUUGGAACCACAAAGACUCUUCCUAGAGCUGGCCGCCCAGCCAAACUGAAUAAUCCGGGGAGUGGGGCUUUGGUCAGGGAGAUGACCAAGAACCCGAUGGUCACUCUAGAGUUCUUCAGUGGAGAUGGGAGAACCUUCCAGAAGGACAACCAUGUCUGCAGCACUCCCCCAAUCGCAUGACAGCCUGCUUGGAGUUUGCCAAAAGGCACCUGAAGGACUCUAAGACCAUGAGAAACAAGAUUAUCUGGUCUGAUGAAACCAAGAUUGAACUCUGUGGCCUGAAUGCCAAGUGUCAUGUCUGGAGGAAACCUGGCACCAUCCCUAAGGUGGUGGCAGUGUUUUUCAGCGGCAGGGACUGGCAGACUAGUCAGGAUCGAGGGAAAGAUGAACGGAGCAAAGUACAGAGAGAUCCUUGACGACAACCUGCUCCAGAGCGCUCAGGACCUCAGACUGGUGUCAUGUAUACACCCUCUCCGGCGCUUGAGGUCGUCAGGUUGCUCAUUAUUACGCACACCUGUCACCAUCGUUACGAGCAUCAGCGCCUCAUCAGACUCACCUGGACUCAAUCACCUGCCUGAUUACCUUCCCUGUAUAUGUCACUCCCUUUUGUUCUUUCCCUAGGCAUUAUUGUUUCUGUUCCAGUGUUCAUGUCUGUACGCUACCCGCGUUUCUUUUUUGUUUCUAUGUUCAUUUAUUUAUUAAAUACACUCCCUGAACAUGCUUCCCAACUCCCAGCGUACACGUUUACAACUAGGGUGAACGUUCACCUUCCAACAGGACAACGACCCUAAGCACAUAGCCAAGACAACGCUGAUUUGGCUUCGGGACAAGUUUCUGAAUGUUCUUGCCAGAGCCCGGACUUGAACCCGAUCAAACAUCUCUGGAGAGACCUGAAAAUAGCUGUGAAGCGAUGCUCCCCAUCCAACCUGGCAGAGCUUGAGAGGAUCUGCAGAGAAGAAUGGGAGAAACUCCCCAAAUACAGGUGUGCCAAACUUGUAGCGUCAUUCCCAAGAAGACUCGAGGCUGUAAUCUCUGCCAAAUGUGGCUUCAACAAAGUACUGAAUAAAGGGUCAGAAUGCUUAUGUAAAUGUGAUAUUGAAUUUUUUUUUUCGACAAACGUGGUUUUGCUUUGUCAUUGUGGUGUAUUGUGUUUAGAUUGAUGAAGAAAAAAAACAAUUUAAUCAAUUUUAGAAUAAGGCUGUAACGUAAUGUUUUUGGGGAAAAUGUCAAGGGGUCUGAAUACUUUCCGAAUGCACUGUAUUCUGAUCAACUGGCUUGUUCUUGUGUCAGGAAAAAUACCUAAUUAAUCAGAUAAUAUACCUGGCCAUUACAACAGAUCAAAGGUUUUUGACCAAAUUCGUAGUUACUGCGUUUUGCCUUUGUAGGGUAGUAUGGUUCUUGCAGCAUUUUGUAUUUUCACAAUUUUGAGGCACUACUAACAAAUCUGUCCAAUAUGUUGCUGUUUUGAACAGGCUUCAAGGCAAAUGAGCUGAAAUCUGCUAGUAAUGAACCUGUCAUGUACACCAUAAUUCAAGCUGGCUGUUGUUAAAACACAUCUGAUUUUUUUUAUUGUUACAUUACCCACAGUACAACCUGAAUAGUGUGUCUCAGCUAAAGGAGUCCCCGAAGUGAGUAUUAAGGAAACAAUGGUUCCCGCUUGAUUCAGGCCCUAUGUUUAUUCUCCAUUUACAGGCACUAAAUGCACAGAGACACCUUAAAUGCCAUGUUGUUUUAUUACACUCAGCCUUUGGGCUGCGCGCACCCCGAAAAUAGCUCCCCCUGGACCUAAACAUGCAGGAACCUUUUAGAUCUGACAGCAAGGCUCUUUACAAAACCAUUGGGCCUUUCCUAGAGGGACAGAGGCUAGGGGACAUUACAUUCAUCAAAUAGCUUGUUGUUUUUCUCCCUCUCUCUGAACUGGAAAGAGAUGCCAACAUCUCUGGAUUAAUGGAGAGAUGGAAAGAGAGGGAGAAAAGAGAGAAAAGAAGGGGCUAUCGCUGCUGGAGCCGCUGAAGAUGGCCUAACAUAACUGAAGGAAAUUCUCUGAACAUAUGCUUGUGUUUUCAUACAUGUUGUUUUUGUUCCAGACAGUGUAUACAUGUAAUUAAAUGAUACAAUGUGAUCCGCUAUUCUGAAUACAGUAUUCAUGCCAUAUGGUGUAAGGUUUUAUUUCCCAGCGAUUGAUCUAGUUGACACUGUGAAUGCACUGAUGUAAAUAGUUCCAGUGUAACCCUGCAAUUAAAGACAUGCUCCCGAAUUUUGGCGAUUAGCAAGUCUUUUUUAAACCUCCCGAUUUGGGCUGGAUGUGUCAAGGUGUAGUUCAUACAUGCAUAAUCUAUAAGCAGAAUUACUGUCUUACCUCAAUUAGCCACAAAAUCCCUAGAUUGAAUGCGGCUGUUUUCUGGAAGCUGUGCAGCACCAUUUCCCCUACAUUUUCUCACAAUGGGCCUGCCCCCUAGCAAUUUAAGUUCCAGCCAAUGAGCUUCAGCCCCUCACCAACUGAGUGACAGCUAGCAAGAUGCACACACAGAAGAGUGAGAGAUCAAAGAAAUGGUGAACAUAUAUGCACAUAUGUGACGUAGUACGCAAUGUUCGGGGACCACUUUUGGCUCGUUUCAAGCUACUUCAGAACAACUGGCUAAAAAGUUGACAAAAGUACCUUCUUCAAGAUGUUCAAAUGUUCAUAGAUGACCAGCAGGGUCAAAUAAUAAUCACAGUGGUUAUAGAGGGUCCAACAGGUCAGCACCUCAGGAGUAAAUGUCAGUUAGCUUUUCAAAGCCGAGCAUUCAGAGGUCGAGACAGCAGGUGCGGUGGGGGGAGGGGGGUGGAGCAUAACUUAGCUCACACAGGACACCAGAUAAGUGGAAAAUGCCGCCAACGGACAGGGCUACAGUGCUUCUAGCUCUUAGGAAACUUUGCAGCAUUUUGUUUUUUAUGUGUUAUUUCUUGCAUUAUUAGCGCAUUCAUUUUUUUGUGUUAUUACAUACUGCCGGGAAGAACUUUUGGAUAUCAGAGCGACGGUAACUCACUAGCAUUAUCAGCAUUACCAGCAUUACGGAAAAUAAUACAGCUUUACCGAAUCGGAUCCUAUGUUUGAACCCUCCAGGGCAAUUGUACUGAUUCCAAAGGCUGUUCCAAAACACCGCAGGCGGAAAAGAGGUACUCGGAGUGGACUUCUAGUCUGACUUAGGAGGCGCGCACACCACCCACCGCUUCCGAGUAUAUUACUCGCUAAUGUCCAGUCUCUGGAUAAUAAAAUUGACAAGCUUAGGGAGAGGAUUUCCUUCCAGAGAGACAUCAGGGAUUGUAACAUACUCUAUUUCACGGAAACAUGGCUCUCUCGGGAUAUACUGUCUGAGUCCGUUCAGCCAGUUGGGUUCUCAGUUCAUCGCGCAGACAGGAAUAAAUAUCUCUCCGGGAAGAAGAAGGGCGGGGGUGUAUGUUUCCUGAUAAACUACUCAUGGUGUGAUUGUGAUAACAUACAGGAACUCAAGUCCUUUUGUUCACCCGACCUAGAAUACCUCACAAUCAAAUGCAGACCGUAUUACCUCCAAAGAGAAUUCUCUUAUAGUUAUUGUCACAGCCGUGUAUAUUCUCCCUCAAGCCGAUAGCACGACGGCCCUCAAAGAACUUCACUGGACUUUAUGCAAACUGGAAACCACAUAUCCCGAGGCCGCAUUUAUUGUAUCUUGGGAUUUUAACAAAACAAAUUUGAGGAAUAUGUUACCGAAGUUCUAUCAACACAUUGACUGCAGCACUCGCGCUGCUAAAACACUCGACCACUGCUACUCCAACUUCCGGGAUGCCUAC
rnacentral:lncRNA from 1 species